rnacentral:rRNA from 1 species
AGGAUAAACGCUGGCGGCGUGCCUAAUGCAUGCAAGUCGAACGGGAGUGCUUUCGGGCAUCGACCGUGGCGGACGGGUGAGGAACACGUAGCUAACCUGCCCAGGUAUGGGGGAUAUGCGCUGGAAACGGCGUGCAAUACCGCAUACGUUCGGGUCACGGGAGUGACUUGAGGAAAGUCUCGUAAGAGAUGUACCUGGAGGGGCUGCGGCCGAUUAGCUAGUUGGUGUGGUAAGAGCGCACCAGGCGAUGAUCGGUAGCUGGUCUGAGAGGACGAUCACGCCGACGACGGGGACUGGACGACCGACCGGCCCGACGUCCGUACGGG